AUGAUUCUCCUUUCUGGCAUUCUGCUUUCUAUCUUUGCAUAUGCAACAUAUGGAGAUGAAAUUAAACCAGUCAAAAUAGAAGAGUUUGCUGACGAGGGCUCAAGUGUUACAUUAUCUUGCACUUAUUCAUCUGCAAAUACUCUUUUCUGGUACCGUCAGCAACCUGGAUCAGCUCCUCAAUAUCUUGUGCUCAUUCCAGAAGGUACAAAAGAAGAUUGGAAAUCAGAUGUUGAUGACAGAUUUACAGCCAGAGUCUCUAAAGACAAAGAAAAGCGUGUGGAUCUGCUGCUCUCCUCUGCUGCAGUAUCAGACUCUGCUGUGUAUUACUGUGCUCUGAGGCCCACAAAUCACAUUCCCAGAUUGCCCUCUCAGAUGUACUGUAUUCCAGACAUUUGUUCUUAA